rnacentral:rRNA from 1 species
AUUGAACGCUGGCGGCAGGCCUAACACAUGCAAGUAGAACGAGUGGCGGACGGGUGAGUAAUGUCUGGGAAACUGCACGAUGGAGGGGGAUAACUACUGGAAACGGUAGCUAAUACCGCAUACCAUCGGAUGUGCCCAGAUGUGAUUAGCUAGUAGGUGGGGUAAAGGCGCACCUAGGCGACGAUCCCUAGCUGGUCUGAGAGGAUGACCAGCCACACUGGAACUGUGACACGGUCCAGACUCCUACGUUAGGCAGCAGUGGGGAAUAUUGCACAAUGGGCACAAGCCGGAUGCAGCCAUGCCGCGUGGAUGAAGAAGGCCUUCGGGUUGUAAAGUACUUUCAGCGAGGAGGCGUUACUCGCAGAAGAAGCACCGGCUAACUCCGUGCCAGCAGCCGCGGUAAUAC